AUUGAACGCUGGCGGCAGGCCUAACACAUGCAAGUCGAGCGAGCGGCGGACGGGUGAGUACUGUGUGGGAAACUGCCCGAUGGAGGGGGAUAACUACUGGAAACGGUAGCUAAUACCGCAUCCCAUCAGAUGUGCCCCGAUGUGAGUAGCUAGUAGGUGGGGUAACGGCCCACCUAGGCGACGAUCCCUAGCUGGUCUGGGAGGAUGACCAGCCACACUGGAACUGAGACACGGUCCAGACUCCUACGGGAGGCAGCAGUGGGGAAUAUUGGACAAUGGGCGCAAGCCUGAUGCAGCCAUGCCGCGUGUGUGAAGAAGGCCUUCGGGUUGUAAAGCACUUUCAGCGGGGAGGCGUUACCCGCAGAAGAAGCACCGGCUAACUCCGUGCCAGCAGCCGCGGUAAUAC
rnacentral:rRNA from 1 species